CUGAAGUUCUCACAUACACACAGGCCCAUAUCAGAUAAAAGUGCCCCAGACCUUUCUGAAUCAGGACCAUCAUCAUCUGGCCUGAAGAGAAGUAUAAUACAGAAUUAAAAGAAGACUCUUCAAGUCUCUGUCAUCCCUUAAGAACCCUGAAGCUCUGAUGAUGGGAUUACAUGAAAGUGAAACUUGAUUUCUCCCCUCAUCCCUUGAAGAGAGGACGGGCGGGAAGAAGAUCCUUAUGGACUCAAAAGUGGCAUUUGGGAGGUAAGACCUUUGGUACUCAAACAGUAUGGGAUUUUAAGAAUAAAGUGGAAGAAACCUGUCCAUAUCCUCUAAACUUAUUGAAACACUGUGAAUUGCCAG
rnacentral:lncRNA from 1 species